rnacentral:rRNA from 1 species
CCUACGGGAGGCAGCAGUCGAGAAUCAUUCACAAUGGGGGAAACCCUGAUGGUGCGACGCCGCGUGGGGGAAUGAAGGUCUUCGGAUUGUAAACCCCUGUCAUGUGGGAGCAAAUUAAAAAGAUAGUACCACAAGAGGAAGAGACGGCUAACGCUGUGCCAGCAGCCGCGGUAAGACAGAGGUCUCAAGCGUUGUUCGGAAUCACUGGGCGUAAAGCGUGCGGAGGCGGUUGCGCAAGGCGUGAGUGAAAGGCACGGGCUCAACCCGCGGACGGCACAUGAUACUGCGAGACUAGAGUAAUGGAGGGGGAACCGGAAUUCCCGGUGUAGCAGUGAAAUGCGUAGAUAUCGAGAGGAACACUCGUGGCGAAGGCGGGUUCCUGGACAUUAACUGACGCUGAGGCACGAAGGCCAGGGGAGCGAAAGGGAUUAGAUACCCCAGUAGUC